UCAAGAAACUUCCACAAUGGGCGAAAGCCUGAUGGAGCGACGUCGCGUGAUGGACGAAGUGCUUCGGCACGUAAACAUCUUUUAUGUGGGAUGAAAUUAUUGACAGUACCACAUGAAUAAGGGGCUCCUAACUCUGUGCCAGCAGGAGCGGUAAUACAGAGGCCCCAAGCGUUAUCCGGAAUCACUGGGCGUAAAGGGUGUCGAGGCGGUUGUAUUAGUCGUUCGUAAAAUCUACGAGCUUAACUUGUAGGCGGCGAACGAAACGGUACGACUUGAGGUUUGGAGAGGUGCGUGGAACUCACGGUGUAGGGGUGAAAUCCGUUGAUAUCGUGGGGAACGCCAAAGGCGAAGGCAGCGCACUGGCCAAAAUCUGACGCUCACACACGAAAGCUAGGGUAGCGAAGAGGAUUAGAUACCCACGUAGUCCCUGAGCGGGCUGGCAAGGCGCAU
rnacentral:rRNA from 1 species